CCAGACUCCUACGGGAGGCAGCAGUGGGGAAUAUUGCACAAUGGGGGAAACCCUGAUGCAGCAACGCCGCGUGAGUGAAGAAGUAUUUCGGUAUGUAAAGCUCUAUCAGCAGGGAAGAAGAAAUGACGGUACCUGACUAAGAAGCCCCGGCUAACUACGUGCCAGCAGCCGCGGUAAUACGUAGGGGGCAAGCGUUAUCCGGAUUUACUGGGUGUAAAGGGAGCGUAGACGGUGCAGCAAGUCUGGAGUGAAAGGCAGGGGCCCAACCCCUGGACUGCAUUGGAAACUGCCGGGCUGGAGUGUCGGAGGGGUAAGCGGAACUCCUAGUGUAGCGGUGAAAUGCGUAGAUAUUAGGAGGAACACCAGUGGCGAAGGCGGCUUACUGGACGAUGACUGACGCUGAGGCUCGAAAGCGUGGGGAGCAAACAGGAUUAGAUACCCUGGUAUA
rnacentral:rRNA from 1 species